CCAUUCCUGGUUCUUUCUUAGUUCCACCUGCAGACCAAGAUAAAGCCGGCUGUCGUAUAGUAAGGAAACCCAGCAGUGAUUCUUCUGAAGGUUCAAGCUCCGUGUCCAGCCAUGUCCCUGGAAUAAUGCAGCCCCAUAAAGAAACUCCCGAGAGCCCAGUGUCUGCCUGCCUCCUCCUGGAGAGGACACCGCCAGUGAAGAACCCUCAUCCUUGGCCAUUGGAGGAGGUUGAGCCUGUCUCUUCUACGCAGGAGGACAUGUUUGGCCAGAAUAGCUCAACAGCUCCAGGCAGACUGGAAGAGGCCAGUUCCCCAUCAUCCACUCCAGCUGAUCCUCUGCGCGUCCUUCAGCUCUCUGGACAAGGGCCUCUCUCCAAUUGUGCUUCAGGUCUUGCUAGAACAACUUCUGAUGUCUUACAACCAGUGCCUUUUAUUCUUCCCAGAAGCCCAACUGAACAGGAGGCAGGAGGAAAGCAGGAAAGCCCACCGUUGGAGACUGCAGGCACCCUUCAGGGCUCUGUUCCAGUUUCUCAAGAUGCUUUUGUGCUGCCAUCCCAGCCCGAGUUCUCUCACGUGAGUGACUGCCUGAGCUGCUGCUGCUGCUGUGAAUGCAGGUAGCAGCCA
rnacentral:lncRNA from 1 species